CCCCUCUCAGUGUAGCACCUGAAGAGUUUCCAGUACACUAUCAGUCUUGACUAAGGGAGGGAGAGUCAAGCAGAAGCAUAUCAAUUUCAUUCCUAGUUUGGUCAGUGGCUAGUGAGUGGAAGGCAAUCUGCUACAAGU